rnacentral:rRNA from 1 species
UUACUUACAUACCUUAAACCCUUCACUAUUAUUAAGUAAUUCUAUACCCAUAUAAAAGUCUUCAUGCUAAAACUAGUAACAAGAAAUUGAAUUUCUCCUAAAUAUAAACAUAAACCAAAACGGACCCACCAUUGAUAAUUAACGGUUUUUUAACCUACUAUAGUAACUUCCUCAAGAAAACACUACAAUUACUCACGUUAACCUUACACAAGUAUAUUACAGGAAAGAUUAAAAGAAAGGGAAGGAACUCGGCAAAAACCCCGCCUGUUUACCAAAAACAUCGCCUCUUGAUCAAAUAUAAGAGGGUCCAGCCUGCCCAGUGACCACUUAAACGGCCGCGGUAUCCUAACCGUGCAAAGGUAGCAUAAUCAUUUGUUCUUUAAAUAAGGACUCGUAUCAACGGCAUCACGAGGGUUAUACUGUCUCCCCCCUCUAAUCAGUGAAACUGACCUCCCCGUGAAGAGGCGGGGAUCCUCAUACAAGACGAGAAGACCCCAUGGAGCUUUAAACCCAAUAAUAUUCCCUCACUACAUACUUCUUCAUAAUUUAAAAGUUUCUAUUUAUUGGUUUUAGGUUGGGGUGACCGCGGAGUAAAACAAAACCUCCUUGACGAACAGGUCUUAUCCUAAUCCAAGAGCCACUGCUCUAAGAAUCAAAAAUUUGACGUACUAUGAUCCGGCAACCGAUCAACGAACCAAGUUACCCUGGGGAUAACAGCGCAAUCCAUUUCACUUAUCGACAAAUGGGUUUACGACCUCGAUGUUGGA